rnacentral:tRNA from 1 species
GGGGAUGUAGCUCAGUGGUAGAGUGCUUGCCUAGCAAGCAUGAGUCCCACAAUUCACUUCCCUA